GAUGAACGCUGGCGGCGUGCCUAAUACAUGCAAGUCGAGCGAAUGGAUUAAGAGCUUGCUCAUAUGAAGUUAGCGGCGGACGGGUGAGUAACACGUGGGUAACCUGCCCAUAAGACUGGGAUAACUCCGGGAAACCGGGGCUAAUACCGGAUAACAUUUUGAACCGCAUGGUUCGAAAUUGAAAGGCGGCUUCGGCUGUCACUUAUGGAUGGACGCGCGUCGCAUUAGCUAGUUGGUGAGGUAACGGCUCACCAAGGCAACGAUGCGUAGCCGACCUGAGAGGGUGAUCGGCCACACUGGGACUGAGACACGGCCCAGACUCCUACGGGAGGCAGCAGUAGGGAAUCUUCCGCAAUGGACGAAAGUCUGACGGAGCAACGCCGCGUGAGUGAUGAAGGCUUUCGGGUCGUAAAACUCUGUUGUUAGGGAAGAACAAGUGCUAGUUGAAUAAGCUGGCACCUUGACGGUACCUAACCAGAAAGCCACGGCUAACUACGUGCCAGCAGCCGCGGUAA
rnacentral:rRNA from 1 species